rnacentral:rRNA from 1 species
UACAGAGGGUGCUAGCGUUGUUCGGAAUUAUUGGGCGUAAAGAGCUCGUAGGCGGUUUGUCGCGUCUGCUGUGAAAACCUAAGGCUCAACCUUGGGCUUGCAGUGGGUACGGGCAGACUAGAGUGCGGUAGGGGUGACCGGAAUUCCUGGUGUAGCGGUGGAAUGCGCAGAUAUCAGGAGGAACACCGGUGGCGAAGGCGGCUCUCUGGACCGACACUGACGCUGAGGCGCGAAAGCGUGGGGAGCAAACAGG